GUGAACUGCUGGGCAGGCCGGCCUGCUUAAAGAUCUCACUCCGGACAAGUAAACACCAAUACCACCAACCUGAGUAGGCCUUCCAUGAAAUACUGGGGACACUAAGAAGCCACACCCCCUGAAACAUUCUAUGGUCAUUCAGCAUUUGAAGCAAAUUGGAAAGGUGAAAAACCUGAUAAGUGGGUGCCUCAUGAGCUCACCGAAAAUUUUUUUAAAAAUUGUCG
rnacentral:lncRNA from 1 species